ACCGACCCGCUUAUUUCUUUGUGUACUUUUGGGGAAUACGUUUUAUUAUGUAUUUAUUAUGGUUUAUUCAAGCCUAUUCCUACUAUCUUAGUCAGCUAGGAACAACUGAAAUAACUCAUUUAGCUCAAGUGACUAAACAAAUGCCCAAUACAGACUCACUUAAACGAUCUGAAUGUUAAAAAUAAGGGACACCACAGCUGACGGGUGUGCCUUUACAUUUCAAAACUUUUUUAUAUUCUGUAGGAAUGAGGUACAAAAAUCAGACAUGAACAAACACUUGGGGUUGUUUUAUCCCACGUGGUAAGAUGAAAACUUACACUUACCUGCCUGGUUUGAACUGAAAACAUAAGAGGAGCUAAAACUGACAGGUAUGGAAUGGAAAAUCAGCUGCUAAAUUCAUGAAACCAUUGUUACCUCUCCUGUUUGGAAGAAAGAAAAAUAAAAAACAGCAGAAACGCAUUGGAGAGCAAAAGUGACAGGGAGGGAGAGGAUCAUCUAAAAGCAGUGAAGUCUAUGCCUAGAAUAAUGAUACCACCAAGGC